CAAUGGCGUAUAUUAAAGUUGUUGCAGUUAAAAAGCUCGUAGUUGGAUUUCUGGUGGGAGCGACCGGUCGGCCCAAGUGGUGUGUACUAGUGUUGCAUCUGGCCAUAUUUGCGGAGAGCGUGUGUGGCAUUAAUUUGUCGUGCUCGGGACCCGCAUCGUUUACUGUGAGAAAAUUAGAGUGUUCAAAGCAGGCUUAUGCCUUGGAUAUGUUAGCAUGGAAUAAUAAGAUAAGACUUUGGCGGUCUAUUUUGUUGGUUUGCACGCCAUUGUAAUGAUUGAUAGGGACAGUUGGGGGUAUUCAUAUUUAAUUGUCAGAGGUGAAAUUCUUGGAUUUAUGAAAGAUGAACUACUGCGAAAGCAUUUACCAAGGAUGUUUUCAUUAA
rnacentral:rRNA from 1 species